rnacentral:lncRNA from 1 species
UAUGCUAAACUGCAAGAUUGGACACAGUGCAGGGAAGAGGUAUAUAUGCAUGUGCAGCGCCAGUGAAGAGAAGAAGAAGAAGAAGAAGAAAAAAAGAGAGAGAGAAGAAGAAAAGAUAGGGUGCCUAAGCAGAGGUGCGUUUAAGCAAUUUAUUAGAAGCUAUGUUCAAGGGGAGGAGAGAAGAGGAGCGUGUCCACGGGUCGAAACUGCAGCAAACCAGUUCCACAGAAUCAUUCAAGGAAAUCUCCAUGACGUUUCUUAUCCCUAUAAGUAAUGCAUUAUCACGAUCAAAGAAGAUGAACAGUUUCUACAGCACUAUCUGAUAGUUUUCUGAAGGCAUGUCGCAGAAGUGCACAGGAGAAUUUGGAUGGAAGUUUGGAAAGGCAUCAAGGGCAUGAGAGCAUGAUCUUGGUGAGUCCUCUUGUCUAGUUUCAUUGCAGUUGU